rnacentral:rRNA from 1 species
CCGCCGGCGACCGGCGCACGGGUGAGUAACACGUAUGCAACCUGGCCGUGACAGAUGGAUAACCGGGAGAAAUCCCGCCUAAUACAACAUAAUGCCGGGAGGGGACAUCCCCUGCCGGCCAAAGGGGCGACCCCGGUCACGGAUGGGCAUGCGGCGCAUUAGGUAGUUGGUGGGGCAACGGCCCACCAAGCCGACGGUGCGUAGGGGUUCUGAGAGGAAGGUCCCCCACAUUGGAACUGAGACACGGUCCAAACUCCUACGGGAGGCAGCAG